rnacentral:misc_RNA from 1 species
UUAAGUUCAGCGGGUAGUCCCGCCUGAUUUGAGGUCAAGUUUCGAUGAAGUUGUCUUUCGACGGUUGGAAGCAGGUCCCCCACAAUCGCGGUGCACCCACGGCGUAGACAAUUAUCACACCGGGGGCGGCACCACAAGGGUCUCGCUAAUGCAUUUGAGAGGAGCCGAUCCGCGAGGACCAGCAAAGCCCCCAAGUCCAA